rnacentral:rRNA from 1 species
GAUGAACGCUGGCGGCGUGCCUAACACAUGCAAGUCGAGCGAUUCUCUUCGGAGAAGAGCGGCGGACGGGUGAGUAACGCGUGGGUAACCUGCCCUGUACACACGGAUAACAUACCGAAAGGUAUGCUAAUACGAGAUAAUAUACUUUUAUCGCAUGGUAGAAGUAUCAAAGCUCCGGCGGUACAGGAUGGACCCGCGUCUGAUUAGCUAGUUGGUAAGGUAACGGCUUACCAAGGCGACGAUCAGUAGCCGACCUGAGAGGGUGAUCGGCCACAUUGGAACUGAGACACGGUCCAAACUCCUACGGGAGGCAGCAGUGGGGAAUAUUGCACAAUGGGCGAAAGCCUGAUGCAGCAACGCCGCGUGAGCGAUGAAGGCCUUCGGGUCGUAAAGCUCUGUCCUCAAGGAAGAUAAUGACGGUACUUGAGGAGGAAGCCCCGGCUAACUACGUGCCAGCAGCCGCGGUAAUACGUAGGGGGCUAGCGUUAUCCGGAAUUACUGGGCGUAAAGGGUGCGUAGGUGGUUUCUUAAGUCAGAGGUGAAAGGCUACGGCUCAACCGUAGUAAGCCUUUGAAACUGGGAAACUUGAGUGCAGGAGAGGAGAGUGGAAUUCCUAGUGUAGCGGUGAAAUGCGUAGAUAUUAGGAGGAACACCAGUUGCGAAGGCGGCUCUCUGGACUGUAACUGACACUGAGGCACGAAAGCGUGGGGAGCAAACAGGAUUAGAUACCCUGGUAGUCCACGCCGUAAACGAUGAGUACUAGCUGUCGGAGGUUACCCCCUUCGGUGGCGCAGCUAACGCAUUAAGUACUCCGCCUGGGAAGUACGCUCGCAAGAGUGAAACUCAAAGGAAUCGACGGGGACCCGCACAAGUAGCGGAGCAUGUGGUUUAAUUCGAAGCAACGCGAAGAACCUUACCUAAGCUUGACAUCCUUUUGACCGAUGCCUAAUCGUAUCUUUCCCUUCGGGGACAGAAGUGACAGGUGGUGCAUGGUUGUCGUCAGCUCGUGUCGUGAGAUGUUGGGUUAAGUCCCGCAACGAGCGCAACCCUUGCCUUUAGUUGCCAGCAUUAAGUUGGGCACUCUAGAGGGACUGCCAGGGAUAACCUGGAGGAAGGUGGGGAUGACGUCAAAUCAUCAUGCCCCUUAUGCUUAGGGCUACACACGUGCUACAAUGGGUGGUACAGAGGGCAGCCAAGUCGUGAGGCGGAGCUAAUCCCUUAAAGCCAUUCUCAGUUCGGAUUGUAGGCUGAAACUCGCCUACAUGAAGCUGGAGUUACUAGUAAUCGCAGAUCAGAAUGCUGCGGUGAAUGCGUUCCCGGGUCU